UCUAGUAUAAGCAAUUAUAUAGUGAAACUGCGAAUGGCUCAUUAAAUCAGUUAUCGUUUAUUUGAUAGUACCUUACUACUUGGAUAACCGUGGUAAUUCUAGAGCUAAUACAUGCUAAAAACCGCGACUUCGGGAGCGGUGUAUUUAUUAGAUAAAAAACCAAUGCCCUUCGGGGCUCCUUGGUGAUUCAUAAUAACUUAACGAAUCGCAUGGCCUUGUGCCGGCGAUGGUUCAUUCAAAUUUCUGCCCUAUCAACUUUCGAUGGUAGGAUAGUGGCCUACCAUGGUUUCAACGGGUAACGGGGAAUUAGGGUUCUAUUCCGGAGAGGGAGCCUGAGAAACGGCUACCACAUCCAAGGAAGGCAGCAGGCGCGCAAAUUACCCAAUCCCGACACGGGGAGGUAGUGACAAUAAAUACUGAUACAGGGCUCUUUUGGGUCUUGUAAUUGGAAUGAGUACAAUUUAAAUCCCUUAACGAGGAACAAUUGGAGGGCAAGUCUGGUGCCAGCAGCCGCGGUAAUUCCAGCUCCAAUAGCGUAUAUUAAAGUUGUUGCAGUUAAAAAGCUCGUAGUUGAACCUUGGGCCUGGCUGGCCGGUCCGCCUCACCGCGUGCACUGGUCCGGCCGGGCCUUUCCUUCUGGGGAGCCGCAUGCCCUUCACUGGGUGUGUCGGGGAACCAGGACUUUUACUUUGAAAAAAUUAGAGUGUUCAAAGCAGGCCUAUGCUCGAAUACAUUAGCAUGGAAUAAUAGAAUAGGACGUGUGGUUCUAUUUUGUUGGUUUCUAGGACCGCCGUAAUGAUUAAUAGGGAUAGUCGGGGGCAUCAGUAUUCAAUUGUCAGAGGUGAAAUUCUUGGAUUUAUUGAAGACUAACUACUGCGAAAGCAUUUGCCAAGGAUGUUUUCAUUAAUCAGUGAACGAAAGUUAGGGGAUCGAAGACGAUCAGAUACCGUCGUAGUCUUAACCAUAAACUAUGC
rnacentral:rRNA from 1 species